rnacentral:rRNA from 1 species
CGUGGGGGCUAUACAUGCAGUAGAACGCUGAAGAGAGGAGCUUGCUCUUCUUGGAUGAGUUGCGAACGGGUGAGUAACGCGUAGGUAACCUGCCUUGUAGCGGGGGAUAACUAUUGGAAACGAUAGCUAAUACCGCAUAACAAUGGAUGACACAUGUCAUUUAUUUGAAAGGGGCAAUUGCUCCACUACAAGAUGGACCUGCGUUGUAUUAGCUAGUAGGUGAGGUAAUGGCUCACCUAGGCGACGAUACAUAGCCGACCUGAGAGGGUGAUCGGCCACACUGGGACUGAGACACGGCCCAGACUCCUACGGGAGGCAGCAGUAGGGAAUCUUCGGCAAUGGGGGCAACCCUGACCGAGCAACGCCGCGUGAGUGAAGAAGGUUUUCGGAUCGUAAAGCUCUGUUGUAAGUCAAGAACGGGUGUGAGAGUGGAAAGUUCACACUGUGACGGUAGCUUACCAGAAAGGGACGGCUAACUACGUGCCAGCAGCCGCGGUAAUACGUAGGUCCCGAGCGUUGUCCGGAUUUAUUGGGCGUAAAGCGAGCGCAGGCGGUUUGAUAAGUCUGAAGUUAAAGGCUGUGGCUCAACCAUAGUUCGCUUUGGAAACUGUCAAACUUGAGUGCAGAAGGGGAGAGUGGAAUUCCAUGUGUAGCGGUGAAAUGCGUAGAUAUAUGGAGGAACACCGGUGGCGAAAGCGGCUCUCUGGUCUGUAACUGACGCUGAGGCUCGAAAGCGUGGGGAGCGAACAGGAUUAGAUACCCUGGUAGUCCACGCCGUAAACGAUGAGUGCUAGGUGUUGGAUCCUUUCCGGGAUUCAGUGCCGCAGCUAACGCAUUAAGCACUCCGCCUGGGGAGUACGACCGCAAGGUUGAAACUCAAAGGAAUUGACGGGGGCCCGCACAAGCGGUGGAGCAUGUGGUUUAAUUCGAAGCAACGCGAAGAACCUUACCAGGUCUUGACAUCCCGAUGCUAUUUCUAGAGAUAGAAAGUUACUUCGGUACAUCGGUGACAGGUGGUGCAUGGUUGUCGUCAGCUCGUGUCGUGAGAUGUUGGGUUAAGUCCCGCAACGAGCGCAACCCCUAUUGUUAGUUGCCAUCAUUCAGUUGGGCACUCUAGCGAGACUGCCGGUAAUAAACCGGAGGAAGGUGGGGAUGACGUCAAAUCAUCAUGCCCCUUAUGACCUGGGCUACACACGUGCUACAAUGGUUGGUACAACGAGUUGCGAGUCGGUGACGGCGAGCUAAUCUCUUAAAGCCAAUCUCAGUUCGGAUUGUAGGCUGCAACUCGCCUACAUGAAGUCGGAAUCGCUAGUAAUCGCGGAUCAGCACGCCGCGGUGAAUACGUUCCCGGGCCUUGUACACACCGCCCGUCACACCACGAGAGUUUGUAACACCCGAAGUCGGUGAGGUAACCUUUGGAGCCAGCCGCCUAAGGGGAUCAA